rnacentral:pre_miRNA from 19 species
GUGUUCCCAAGAGUUCCUUGCAAGCACUUCACAUAGAACUUCUGUUACUCUCAUGUAACAUUGGGAACUUGAGAAGCUACUGUGAAGUGUUUGGGGGAACUCUAGGUGGCAC